rnacentral:rRNA from 1 species
GAUGAACGCUGGCGGCGUGCCUAAUACAUGCAAGUCGAGCGAACAGAUGAGGAGCUUGCUCCUCUGACGUUAGCGGCGGACGGGUGAGUAACACGUGGAUAACCUACCUAUAAGCCUGGGAUAACUUCGGGAAACCGGAGCUAAUACCGGAUAAUAUCUUGAACCGCAUGGUUCAAUAGUGAAAGACGGUUUUGCUGUACUCUAUAGAUGGCUCCGCGCCGCAUUAGCUAGUUGGUAAGGUAACGGCUUACCAAGGCGACGAUGCGUAGCCGACCUGAGAGGGUGAUCGGCCACACGGGAACUGGAACACGGUCCAGACUCCUACGGGAGGCAGCAGUAGGGAAUCUUCCGCAAUGGGCGAAAGCCUGACGGAGCAACGCCGCGUGGGUGAUGAAGGUCUUCGGAUCGUAAAACUCUGUUAUUAGGGAAGAACAAAUGUGGAAGGAACUAUGCACGUCGUGACGGUACCUAAUCAGAAAGCCACGGCUAACUACGUG